rnacentral:rRNA from 1 species
GACGAACGCUGGCGGCGCGCUUAACACAUGCAAGUCGAACGGAAAGGCCUGCUUUCCCUCGUGGAUUGCGGGUACUCGAGUGGCGAACGGGUGAGUAACACGUGAGUGAUCUGCCCCCAACUUGGGUAUAAGCCUGGGAAACUGGGUCUAAUUCCCGAUAGGACUGCAGGGUGGUGCCUGUGGUGGAAAACGAUUUUCUAGUGGUUGGGGAUGAGCUCGCGGCCUAUCAGCUGGUUGGUGGGGUAAUGGCCUACCAAGGCGGCGACGGGUAGCCGGCCUGGGAGGGUGGACGGCCACAUUGGGACUGAGAUACGGCCCAGACUCCUACGGGAGGCAGCAGUGGGGAAUAUUGCACAAUGGGCGGAAGCCUGAUGCAGCGACGCCGCGUGGGGGAUGACGGCCUUCGGGUUGUAAACUCCUUUCGACCGCGAGGAAGCCACCUGGUUGGAAGGGUGGUGACGGUAGUGGUAGAAGAAGCACCGGCUAACUACGUG